rnacentral:tRNA from 1 species
GCCCUCGUAGUUUAAAGGAGAAAACAGAAGCUUGCGGAGCUUCCGAUGCAGGUUCGAAUCCUGCCGAGGGCACUA